rnacentral:rRNA from 1 species
GAUGAACGCUGGCGGCGUGCCUAAUACAUGCAAGUCGAGCGAAGCGGGGACAGGUGAGUAACACGUGGAUAACCUCCUAUAAGACAGGGAAAAAGUCGGGAAAACGGAGCUAAACCGGAAACUUAUAGAUGGAACCGCGCUGCAUUAGCUAGUUGGUCAGGUAACGGCUUACCAAGGCAAUGAGCCAUAGCAGACCUGAGAGUGUGAUCGGCCACACGGGAACUGAGACACGGUCCAGACUCCUACGGUAGGCAGCAGUAGGGAAUCUUCCGCAAUGGGCGAAAGCCUGACCGAGCCACGCCGCGUGAAUGAUGAAGGUCUUCGGAUCGUAAAACUCUUUUAUUAGGGAAGCGUUACCUAAUCAGAAAGCCACGGCUAACUACGUGCCAGCAGCCGCGGUAAUUC